rnacentral:rRNA from 1 species
AUUGAACGCUGGCGGCAGGCCUAACACAUGCAAGUCGAACGAGCGGCGGACGGGUGAGAAAUGUAUGGGAAACUGCCUGAUGGAGGGGGAUAACUACUGGAAACGGUAGCUAAUACCGCAUACCCUCAGAUGUGCCCAGAUGGGAUUAGCUAGUAGGUGGGGUAACGGCGCACCUAGGCGACGAUCCCUAUCUGGUCUGAGAGGAUGACCAGCCACACUGGAACUGAGACACGGUCCAGACUCCUACGGGAGGCAGCAGUGGGGAAUAUUGCACAAUGGGCGCAAGCCUGAUGCAGCCAUGCCGCGUGUAUGAAGAAGGCCUUCGGGUUGUAAAGCACUUUCAGCGGGGAGGCGUUACCCGCAGAAGAAGCACCGGCUAACUCCGUGCCAGCAGCCGCGGUAAUUC